GAAUUCGAGUCGUCAAGGCGAUGUAAGCACUGCUCACCUUACCAUCCCACACAUGGAUGCAAUUUAAUCUCAUAACCGUAAAUAUUCUUAAAAGAAGUAGCAAUCGUAAACUGCUUAAUAGCCACUCCAACUACUUAAGAAGGCUCGUACUAAUUUGAAAGUAGAGUGGGGUGAGACGACUAUAGAAACCGGAAGUGGUGUGUAGAUAAAAGCAACCUACAUUGCUGCAUCCAACAGCAAAUGACAAACUUCUACAUUUACUAUCAAAUGUCAGCGAACCUGUAUAUCAAAGCACGGUACAAAAGAGAGAUAUAUAUUUAUAAAGUUAGUCAACCGUAUUAAGUACAUAUUUAGUCGGUUAUCGGUACAUUGGUUUUUCCAACACUCUGUCGUUGUCUUCUUAUUAUUUCCUGCUUGAUACCUGGGAAAAAAUUUCUUUCACCAUGUUGCUACAUCCUAUUUUCUCUGGCUAGUGGAUUCAUUUUCAUAAUAGGUACGUAUAGAGACUCACGAAGAUAUCCGAACACUUUCAUAUACCUUUUAUGAAUAUAUUAUAUUAGUAUUCGAAUAGGUUUAGAAAUUCUAUAAAUAGAUCUACAAAGAUUUUGUAACAUAUAUUAUACAAUACUGUUAUAAUUGUUAUGUACAUUAGCUUAUAGAAAUUCUAUAAUAGAUUGUUCAGGUAUGUAACAUUUUGAAAUUUAAUUAACACUGUUAUGAGACUGUACUGUUAGGAUGAUACUGAUAAUGAUUGGAGGAAAUCUAGAAAUAUAUGAAAGUAUAUAAUAAAUGAAAAAAUAUCUAGUACAAGUACCUAUACGCGUAUUUCACAGAGAUCAAAAAGUUAUUUAAGCAGUCAGCCAUUUGUAUCACUUACUAUAUGCUUCAUACAACUACUCUCCAAUGCUAUUAAUUCCUUCUUGUAAUGCUAUCUUUUUUCCCCUUCGCGAUCGUUCCAAGGGAAGUCCUAAUGUAUUCAGGCGUAAGAUCGAUAUAGCAAUUGCUACGUAAUCAAUCAUUCCCACGUAGAAAAUAUAAAUUAUAGCAGCGUCCACUGGUCACACAUUGCUCAUGAUAUUAUUGUAUAUUAGCGUCAUGAAACAAUGAUACAACAUAUCAGAAUAAAUUAUACUUCCGCCUUUAGAUUAUGAUCAUCGUGACUGGUUGUGUGGUUGUAUGGCAGCUGAUUAAUGUCGUGUCUCUAAUACAUCAGUAUUUAUCAUUUAUAAUAUUUGGUUUGGUCUAUUUUAUAGCGGCUCGUUUCUGUCGAAUCAACGUCCUUUCGUCUUAAGAAAAUCAUUAGCUGACAAAUUAAAGAAAUUUGUUAACGAUAGAAAAAGGGAGAUUCGGUUGAAAGCGGCUCAAAGGAUGCAGAUGGAUUAAAAUAUCGCGUCCUCUAGCCAAAGAAAAGCCCCUAUAAUAAUUUCGCAUGCAGAAAGGCUAAUAAAUCGAUGAUCUAACGAGUGAGUGGCGUGCUAAAGUAGUUGAAACUGUACGUAAUAAAUUACAGAUUGCCAAGCAAACACUCGGGAGCCGUGCAAGAGACGCUGAAGGUCUAUUGGAUGUUCGUUGCCACUAAAUUACACGCGUCCGAGGUAGAAAUUCUGGCUGCGUACGAUAUGACGAUCGUGUGUACAGCUGUACUCGUGAACAUCGGUAUAAAACAUGAUAUAACGUAUUCGUUACAUUGUCACAACCUGUGCGUACAUACGGUACACGUGGGAAUUAUUUUUCAUGGGGGACACGUUCGAAUGUCUGGCCUUUUCCAAAUUUCAUAUGCGACAGAGGGUUCGGCCGCGCGGUACCGGAAGUCAUCAGACUGCGCGCUCGAUGAAUUCGUUCCCGUGACUAACCGUAGGUACACGUAACGCUUUGAUUCACACGCGUCUAUAUACAUAGACUAUCUAAUGUAAAUAUAAAACUUACAACGAGUGUAGUGAUUCACUCGUCACGUUGCAAACGCUCGUUGUUAAUUCCACCGAUAAAUUUCCAAAUGAAACGUGUGAUUGAAUUGAACACGGUGUAACAUUACACCGGCACAAUUGAAUAGCCGCUCUCGAUUCUGAAACGCGAAUGAAAGUUAUCAACGAGACCUGAUUUCUUUCUCUGCGUAUGCAGAGGAAUCUUGAGAAAUUGUUUGUUUUGUUUCCAGGAUGUAUCAAUAGGAUUAGUAAUUUAUUGGUAUUUCCAUUUUGAAGCUUUAAUGGUACAAUUGAUUAGCAAUUGGCAGAACUCUAGCAUUCGCUUUUACAAUAUUCUCUUAUGAAACGUGGAGCUUUCUGAGAAAAGAGAAGAAUCGUGUUUGUAAAUUUUGUUUAUGCGAUAGUCUCUUUCCAAAUCGAUGAAUCAGUGUUUCUUGUUAAAAAAGUAAAGUUAAGUAAAGUUAAGUAAAAGUAAAGUUAACAAAUUAAAGAACAUUCACAAUGUUGAAAGAAUUUAUAGAUUAGUUUUAACUCUUUAGGGACUGAAUCUUUUUACUCUAUGAGAAAAAUUGUAUUUUCAUUAAUCAUUAAUAGUAGUAUAUCAAAAAAAGAAUAUUUAUAUAUAUAUAUUAUUUCAAACAAUUUUUGUAUUAUCUACAUAUUUUCAGUGACACUAAAAGGUAUAUUUUGAAGAUAUAGACACAUGAUCAUACUACUUUCAAGUUAUAUAAUGACUUUAUAAAUGAUUAAAACUAAAUGCAUGUUGAGUCUGCUGAUAUGUGAGUGUCUCAAAAGCCAAACUCAACAAAGGCUUAGUCAACUGCAGAUCCUUUCCUCGACUUCUUUACCCCCAUGAUUGACGUUCAACUUUCCCCUAAAAACAAAUUCUCGAGUUUAUUUAUUGUAAGAAACCGACAACAAUCUUGAAAAUUCAAAAACUAAAUUCAAAAAAAUAAUUCUUACAAAAUCACCAAUUUUUGCCUACUUUUCAAUUUACAUCUUUACACGAAGCCAAUCGCCAUAACUUCUGAAACAUAAACAACAAUUGUAAGUUGAAAAAAUAAUCCUCACAAAAUCAUCGGUAUUCUCCACUCUUGACUCCUAUCAGAGGGACGAAGAAUCCCAGGAACAUGAGUCACACGAGUCCAAUCAGUAUGGUUUUUGAGCUUCUCACGUUACGAUAUUUGGCAACGAGAAAACUACUACUACUUUCGUACGUACGUACAGCACGUGAAGUAUAUUACGAAAGAAGUGAUCGCAAAGGAAAACGAUAGAACUUUCCAUGGGGCCUGAUACAUUGUUCGUUAUGGAUGAAAUAAAUGAAAGCUUAAUUAUACCGCGUAUCCGCUUCACUUUCUCGCAGAAUGCAUAAUCGAUCGGUGGUUUUCAAGCCGCGGAAAAGUGGGAUUCGGUGUUAUCAGAAGAAAUAGGUUCGCUCGGAAUGCGGCUCCAAGUUUGGCGGACUUGUACAACGACGACGGGCAAACCGUUAUUUCAAAACCAUUCGCGAGAAUCACGCGUUCUGAAUACGUAAACGGUGUUAGAAUUUAUUCGACUGGUAGAACAGUGUCGUGACGAUAUUUCAUAUCGAUCAGGUUCGAUGCUUUUAUGGAUGGAACAAUAUAUAAUGUAGGGUAUUCCAGUCGAAGAUGGAAUUGUUCUUCAACCUAAUUCUUUUAACUUCGCUGUGUGCUACAUGUUAGCUCGCUGAGAAAUCUGUAUUCAGCUUGCAUUCAAAUUUGCAAUCUUUAAGAGAUUCUCCUGUGUCAAUAAUUAAAGCAAGCGAUUUAUAUGAAUUUUUUCGUAGACUGGCUACUAGUUAGACGGGACUAGAUCUUUCUGGGAUGUAAAUAUAGCCUUCAAGUACAAAUGCAAUCUUUUUUAUUUGAAUUCUUCUUAUCGUUUGGUAACUUUUGAAACUGACCUGCGCAAUAACUGGAUAAACCGAUUAAUUAAUCAAUUUCGGACAAAGCUCGUUCACUUUGUUAUAAAUUUUAUCAAGCAUUGAACCAUACAUCUUUAUCCGAUUAUUUAUUAUCCUCAAUUUAUUAAACUCAAUUUAUCUAGCGAGAAAAGUAAAUGUUCCUUCUAAACGCUAGAACCUUCCAAUUACUCAUGUUUUCCUCUGAAGAAUAGGUCCGAUCACAGCGUAAAGGAUCUAACUUUAAGAAAAUCUUUAGACUUUUCUGAUGAUCGUGACAGAUGCUAUAUUGCAUGCCAACAAUGGUUACAUUGCCAAAUUUAAUUAACCAUAAGACUUGUAUGAUAUACGAUAAACAGUAAGAAGAACUGAAAUAAAAAUAUUACUUUUGUACUUCAAUACUAUCUAUCUAUAUUCUGAAAAUGUCCAGUCCCAUGUAACCAGUGGUUAGUCUAAAAAAAAUUCACAAAAAUCACUUUCUUCCAAUGUUGUUACACGAGAAUCUUUCUUUAAUUCGCUCCUGAUUCGAAUGAAAGAAAAUUUAUUCCAUUUCCUUUUUUUAAAAACUUAUUGCUAAAAUAAUUUGACCUAUUUCUGACAAAAUCGUUAUGCCUUUGGAUUAACAGAUGUCUUAAAACUUCAAUUGUCAGGAUGUUUUGUAGUAUGUUUUCCUUCAAGUUUCAAGAUGUAACGGUACGAAGCAUGAUUUUGGCUUUCUUAUAUUGAAAAAGGAAUUGUGGUAAUUUAGAGAUUUUGGAGUAGAGUAUCCACAUAGAGAUUUUUACAUUAUUACAUCCUUCAAUACAGAUUUACAAACACUACUUAUUAGCGAUUUAUUCGAUAACAUAUUUCAUAAAGUAAAUGAUAAGGAUUGACUAAGCUUGAGAUAACAUUCCUCCUUUUUCUUUCUGCUAGUAAUUUUACAUUCAAACUUAGACAUUUUUCAUUAUUUACCAUUAUCUUUCGAAUAUUUUAAUCUUUAUUUCCCUAUAUUACAUUCUGAUAUCUCAAGUUUAUAAACAAACAUCUAUCAGUGGAACAAACGCUAAACAAACGUAACGUUUCCAAAUUGUAUAAUUGUCAAGGUUCACACAGGCAAUUUAUUUAUCUAUUCUAUAAUGGUUGGAGGAUUGAAUUACAAGGAAAAUUGGCGAUGCACCAUGCCUCUCUAGUCUUGUUUCGUAUUAUCUUCACGUGGCUUCGAAGCCUGCACCGAGUCCAUUGAAUAGUACUCAUUAUCGUACACUGUUCAGCCGGGUUUAAAGGUGUCCCGCGACUCAGCGGAAAUCAAGUGCAUCUGCAACACACGAGCGUGUACCCAUCGUAUUAAGGAUCGUGCACAAUAAAACCGUUUCGUCGACUUUUUUCAUUCCUAUUCAACAGUCACGCUCGAUUGCACUUUUCUUUGUAUCGUUCCUCUUUUGUUGCACUCCUGGCUGAAUCAUUUUCCUCGUGUUCCACGUUGACGCAUGUUUUACAUGCUUAACACCUUGUUUAACUAAAUCUUUGUUGGCUAAGCCUGAACUGUUCGAGUCGUGAAAUCAUUGCAACGAAAUGCAAAUAAAUAAUACAAAUAAGUGGAUAGAAUCUUUCAUGUUGCUCCUUUCGACGUUUUAAUUGCCUCUUUGAAUGUUUUGAUCGACGUGAUCACGUUCUCCAGGAUAUAAAUUCUUACGACGUUGUUAGUAUUCGCUGAAUGAUGCCAGAGAUUAAAAGUAAUGGCACCAUGAAUGAAAAUUGACCCCAGGGAAAUUUAAUUUUCAAUGUUCAAUUUCACUCGUUAAAUUCUCCCGUAUUCGACGUUUUUCUGUCGGUAAACGCACGUUUCGAAGGAAAUCGUAUAGUUAUUGCUUUGUUACGUCCAAUUAUAAAAGCAAUUAUUCAAUCUUUAAUAUCACAAUUUCUAGUUUAAAACAUAAAAUCUUCUUUUAUAUAAAAUAUAAUUAGCUGCACAAAAAUAUAAAAUAUCCCCUGUAAACAAAGAAGAAAGUAAAUUACAAACAAUUCUAAAAUUUAGAUUUUAGACGUAAUUUUGAAACUUUUAAAUCUAAUUGACAACUAUCGCAAGUAAAGUAUAACUUUGGUACGAUACUUGGUAGGAACAGUGGGAAUCAAACAGCUGGAAAAGAACGUUGUAACCUUAGCGCCACAGAACGGCGAUGACGUCCUUCCGAAUACAAAAGAAAGAUCUACGCUGCAUCGAUCUUGGAAAGAAUGGUAGUAGAAGGGUGAGAGGAAUAUAUCAGGCGAAGUACCAGCAGUCACCUUGACCCAGUUCCCUCUGGAUAGUCUUGGGAAACGACGAGGAACGAAUCAAGCGCGACCAAUAAUACAAGAAUUGAUUUUGCGAUAACAAUACCCGGUUGCCCUGUAUAGUCGUGUAAUAGCUUAGAUGGCCUGGUUUUAAACGAUCCCGUUACAGUAAUUUUCAUCAAUUUUUUCGUUUAAAAUCAUCUUUUGUAACCCUUUUGUAAUAUGCAGUAGAAAGUAUUAAAAUAUAUCAACGGAUGAAUCAGAACAUUGAUUCAAUGAAACAGAUUUCAUUCAGGAAGAAGGUCAUAGGAAAAGAGAUAAAGCGACGUAUAUCUAAUUUUGAAAAUAAUUUCGAAACGGAAUAAAUAGAAGAAAUUGAGAAACCUAAAUAACUAGAAAUUAGGAAUUGAAUUUAAAAAUUGUUUUUCCAUAAAAGAUGGAGAAUAGAAAGUAAUAUGUUUUCUGCAAUGUUUGUACUAGUAAAUCACGUAUUAAAUUAUAUACGUAUAUUAAUUUAUAACUAACAUAUUUU